rnacentral:misc_RNA from 1 species
GAAAUGCGAUUAUUAAUGUGAAUUGCAGAAUUCAGUGAAUCAUCGAGUCUUUGAACGCACAUUGCGCCCCCUGGUAUUCCGGGGGGCAUGCCUGUCCGAGCGUCAUUGCUGCCCUCAAGCACGGCUUGUGUGUUGGGCUUCCGUCCCUGGCAACGGGGACGGGCCCAAAAGGCAGUGGCGGCACCAUGUCUGGUCCUCGAGCGUAUGGGGCUUUGUCACCCGCUCCCGUAGGUCCAGCUGGCAGCUAGCCUCGCAACCAAUCUUUUUAACCAGGUUGACCUCGGAUCAGGUAGGGAUACCCGCUGAACUUAAGC